rnacentral:lncRNA from 1 species
GUCAGGGCCCAAGAGAGGCCAGAGGCUCAUUCCCCAGGAUGACCCUGGCCCCACAGGAAGUUGUGUUAAUGGGAGAUUGAACUGUGCCUGAGGAAGAUUUCCCACCUUUCCACCCAGCAGCCUCUGGAGGGAGAAGAUGCUGGCACUGAGCUUGGGGCCCAGCUCACGGAGCCGCCAUGAGCAUGAAAGUGCUGACCUUAAGACAACGUGCAGUCUGUGUCCUACUCCAUAAUAUGUCAGUGUUCAAAGAUCUUGGCUGCUACAAAGCAAGCUGUUUCCGCUGCCACAGGCCCCUGCACGUGCAUUCUGUCUCACUUCAGACUCAGAGCAUCAAGGCCAAGCAACCACAGACAGCAACUGUGAGGCAAAAUACGCCUUUUUUCUCUUUUUAAAUUGAUUUAUCUUGGCUGUUUGUCACAGUGGUAGAAAACUAAUACAGCCUUAGUGCGAUCAUUACGGCCACUACUGUCUUCACUCAACUACUACAAAGGGGGGGUGGGCAGGAAAGGGAAUGCAGGAAGUGAAUGUGUGGCCACCUCCUCUGGCAACAAGUUAGGGUGGGCAGGAACAGGUGUCCCACUGUGAGCUCUUGGCCUCCACCCUUCCUUCUGCGCCACUCAGCCAAACCAGCAGCAGCUGUCAAGGUCACCGUCAUCUGCUGCACUUUCCCAGGGAAAGGUGGGGCUCUGCACCUGUGCCCCAGGAAGGCCGUUCCCAGGAUCCUCACAUCUAUCUGCUCCCAUGCACUUCCCAGUGUUUUGGCUGCAGGAUGAUGCUGGGGCCGGCCACCUGGACGUUACCAUGGGAUGACUUCCCACCAGGGUACGCUGGAUAAGCUCAACCAGCCGAGUAGGUUUGCAUAGCCGCCCACUUGGUGCUGGCACUAAGAGCAGAGGGUGGGGCCUGGUUUCCAGCCACGCCCUCCCCCAGGAAAGCCUGGAGAACCCCAGGGCAAAGGAAGGUAGACCCUCUCAGUCACAACCUGGAAGGGUACAGCCGAGCAAGGUUUAUUUUUAAAACCUCCCCAGGGUGUCCUGGUGCCAGGCAACCUGGAUUGGAAACCACUCUUGUAAAGCAAUGUUUUUGUGCACAAGGAAGAGCCUAUGCCACAGAGGUGUUCCGUCAAGUUCAGGGUCACCUGCAGCCCCUUUUGGGUGCAUUGUUACAAGGGGCCAGUUGGGG